GAUGAACGCUAGCGACAGGCUUAACACAUGCAAGUCGAGGGGCAGCGAGGGCGUAGCAAUACGCCUGUCGGCGACCGGCGCACUGGUGAGUAACACGUAUGCGACCUGCCCCCUACAGGGGUAUAACCCGUAGAAAUGCGGACUAAUCCCCCCAUAGUCCUGGGUGCUGCAUGGCAUUCAGGGGAAAGGGUUUCCGGUAGGGGAUGGGCAUGCGGCGCAUUAGCUAGUUGGCGGGGCAACGGCCCACCAAGGCGACGAUGCGUAGGGGUUCUGAGAGGAAGGUCCCCCACACUGGUACUGAGACACGGUCCAAACUCCUACGGGAGGCAGCAGUGAGGAAUAUUGGUCAAUGGGCGAGAGCCUGAACCAGCCAAGUAGCGUGCAGGACGACGGCCCUAUGGGUUGUAAACCUCUUUUGUCGGGGAGUAACGUGCGGGACGCGUCCCGUAUUGAGAGUACCCGAAGAAAAAGCAUCGGCUAACUCCGUG
rnacentral:rRNA from 1 species